CGAUGGAGGAUCGGCUUUCACUCUCUUUGCUUUCAUGGAAGCUGCUAGGUUUGCUGCCCAGUGGUUACCAUUUUGUAGGAAGAACGAUAUAGCGAAAAGGAACCCCGAUGAAUUUUUUGCGACCGAUUAUAAGAUGAGUUCUGAAACUGAAGAUAUUAAGGUAAUCCCCAUUCUUAAAUUAUCUAACUGACUAAUAGUUACUGCUAUGAUUAGAAUCCACGUCCUUUGUCAAAAAUAUAUAUUUUUACUAGUCCAAAAAUCAUUAAAAAUAACAACUCAAAAAUAAAAAACUGAAUAGAGAUUGCUUGAAUAGGAAAAACAUACUGUUUUCUCCCCGGCAAGCCAAUGAAACCAAAUCCAUCAAUAAAGGAGGCAAAGGACAAUAAUUCCACGUUUUAGCUGCAAAAGUUGGGAGAAGC
rnacentral:lncRNA from 1 species